rnacentral:rRNA from 1 species
CAGCGCCACAAGUGGCAAUCACGUUUAUUGGGCCUAAAGCGUCCGUAGCCGGUUUAGCAAAUCUUUUGUGAAAUCGUCAGGCUUAACUUGACGAAUUGCAGAAGACACUACUAAACUAGGGACUGGGAGGAGUCAGAAGUAUUCUGGGGGGACCGGUAAAAUGGUAUAAUCCCCAGAGGACUACCGAUGGCGAAGGCAUCUGACCAGAACAGAUCCGACGGUGAGGGACGAAAGCCAGGGGAGCGAACCGGAUUAGAGACCCGAGUAGUCC